rnacentral:tRNA from 1 species
AUUUCAAUAGUGUAAUAAACACCUUACAUUUUCGCUGUAACAAUGAAGUCCCUACUACUUCUUGAAAUU